UCAAUCUCAGUAAAACCGAACUCUUAUUUAUCCCUUGUGAAUCAUCCCCAUGUCAAGACCUUGUGAUAUCCCUGGACAACAACCAAAUUACUCCUUCAGCCACCGCCCGCAAUCUUGGGGCUACUCAGGUGCUUGUUCAGUCCCUUGUUAUUUCAAGACUGGACUACUGCAACUUACUCCUGGCAAGCCUGCCUCUGUCCAUGAUUCCGUCCUCUGCAACUGAUCCAGAAUGCAGCAGCAUGUCUCGUUUUUAAAUUUCCCAAGUUCUCCCGCGCCACACCACUCCGCUCCCUGCACUGGCUUCCUGUAGCUGCCCGCGUUAAAUUCAAAACGCUGAUGCUUGGCUACAAAGAUAAAAAUGGCCCAACACCCACUUACCUCUCUGCUCUAAUCACACCACGCACUGCACCACGUUCCCUACGACCCUUCAGCACUGCUCACCUCAUCCCACCAUCUCUCAGGGAUCGAGAGCGGCAUUCAUCCAGGCUCUUUUCUGUUCUAGCACCUAGGUGGUACAGCAGAGACUAUGACUAUCUUUAAACGAAGACUCAAGACGCAUCUGUUUCUCCAGUACUUGGCCAAUUUCAAUACAUUUUAUUACAGAAAAAGACCGUGGUAUGCUUAUCUGAUUGUAAUGUCUAGGAUAUUGUGAGUCUUUAGUCAAUAAUAUUCUGAUUAUUUCGGCCGAUGAAUUACCUGACACCCGUGCAAGACCUACACCCGGAAUCUCGUGCAAGACCAAUAGGUGUAGUAGCUCCACAACCAAGACCAGCACAACAAACGGGGGUUAUAAUAUAUCCUGAACACAGGGUCAAUGAUGAUAAUACAAAUGCUCCAAGUAAGAUGAUUGAGUGACAUAGCGGAAGUACAAGCGUGGGUUGUACCCAAAGAUAACAUCAAUCAAGAGAAUCCUAAUCAACUGCGACUCAGGGAUGCACUUGGAGACUUCUAUCAAGAAUUUCAGGUUUUAUUUGAAAGCUUUAAUAACCUUAAUUCAUUGGAACAAAACUCUAGUAGGGAUUGUGUUUCAUCUUUGUGUGA